UUGAACGCUGGCGGCAGGCCUAACACAUGCAAGUCGAACGGUAACAGGAAGCAGCUUGCUGCUUCGCUGACGAGUGGCGGACGGGUGAGUAAUGUCUGGGAAACUGCCUGAUGGAGGGGGAUAACUACUGGAAACGGUAGCUAAUACCGCAUAACGUCGCAAGACCAAAGAGGGGGACCUUAGGGCCUCUUGCCAUCGGAUGUGCCCAGAUGGGAUUAGCUAGUAGGUGGGGUAACGGCUCACCUAGGCGACGAUCCCUAGCUGGUCUGAGAGGAUGACCAGCCACACUGGAACUGAGACACGGUCCAGACUCCUACGGGAGGCAGCAGUGGGGAAUAUUGCACAAUGGGCGCAAGCCUGAUGCAGCCAUGCCGCGUGUAUGAAGAAGGCCUUCGGGUUGUAAAGUACUUUCAGCGGGGAGGAAGGGAGUAAAGUUAAUACCUUUGCUCAUUGACGUUACCCGCAGAAGAAGCACCGGCUAACUCCGUG
rnacentral:rRNA from 1 species